rnacentral:rRNA from 1 species
UUCCGGUUGAUCCUGCCGGACCCCACUGCUAUCGAGAUGGGACUAAGGUAUGCUAGUCGAACGACCAGAACUAUGUCUGGAAGUGGCACACUGCUCAGUAACACGUAGCUAACCUACCCUUAGGACGUGGAUACCCCCGAGAAAUUGGGGUUAAUCCGCGAUAGGUGUAAUGUCCUGGAAUGGUAUUACGCCUAAAGGUGUAUCAUACAUGUUUGAUAUACGCCUAAGGAUGGGGCUGCGGCCGAUCAGGCUGUUGGUGAGGUAAUGGCUCACCAAACCUUUGACCGGUACGGGCCAUGAGAGUGGUAGCCCGGAGAUGGACACUGAGACAAGGGUCCAGGCCCUAAGGGGCGCAGCAACCGCGAAACCUCCACAAUGCACUCACGUGCGAUGGGGCUAUCUCGAGUGCCACCUGAUGAAGGUGGCUUUUCCUAGGUCUUCAAAGCCUUGGGAAUAAGAGGGGGGCAAGACUGGUGUCAGCCGCCGCGGUAACACCAGCCCCUCGAGUGGUGGGGAUGAUUAUUUGGCCUAAAGCGUCCGUAGCCGGCCGAGCAAGUCUUCCGUUAAAUCCAGCGUCUCAAGCGUUGGACUGCGGGAGAUACUACACGGCUAGAGAGUGGGAGAGGUCAGCGGUAUUCUGGGGGUAGGGGCGAAAUCCUUUGAUCCCCGGAGGACCACCAGUGGCGAAGGCUGCUGACUAGAACACGUCUGACGGUCAGGGACGAAAGCUGGGGUAGCGAACCGGAUUUAAUACCCGGGUAGUCCCAGCCGUAAACGAUGCAUGCUAGGUGUUGGGUUGGCCACGAGCCACCCCAGUGCC